rnacentral:lncRNA from 1 species
UUUCUUUUCAAUUAAAAAACAUAACACAAAACCUUUUCUCUCUUAUCUCUCUCCCGUAACCCAUUCUAUCUUCUCUCCAAAUUGUUUUGUGCUCAUUUCCAUCCCCCAUUGCACUUUUUUUUUUUCCAUUUUUGUCACCAUCACUCCUCUAAUUCUCAUCAAAUGUUCUACAAUUAGUGUUAAGUUGAGAAGUGGAAAUACAAAGUAAUGGAGGGUUUGAUUUUUGGUGUUCCUUGAGGUAAAAUUUUAUAAUUGAUAGAAUGUAUUGGUGAUAUCUAGCUUUGAUCAGUAGUAGAAACUAGUAUAUGUAGAAUGAUUUAGAUUUUCAUAGAUUCCUUUUAAACCCUAAGUCUAGAAAAAUUGGGGGUUUUACCAAAUUCUUUUAUCUAUUGUUAAUUCAGCUGUAAAUAAGUAAGUCUUUUCAAGAGUUAUAAUGAUUGUGUAAUGUUCAGAUUCGGUGGAAAUCGCUCCGAUGGCCGUUCCGGAAGGCAUUGCACGGAAUGGACUUGAAGCUUCAUAGUUGUGAGUAGCUAAAAUACCUUGUGGCAUGUUUUCAUAAGUAAAAAUGUUGUUUUAUGGGAGAAAUAAAUAAUCUUUUUAAAAGAGAAUCUCAUUUUCCUCAAAAAAAAUAAGAUUUCACUAUUGUGUUUAUUCAAUUACAAGGAUGUGAUUUUGAUGAUUACAAAUUUGAUGAUAAUUGGUGAUAAUGUGGAUAACUGGUAACACUGUUGUGAGGGUUUCAAUCCUAUGAAUUAACUUGUCAUAAGGAAACAUUCAAUCAUAAAAGAGUUACAAGUUCCAAAGCA